rnacentral:rRNA from 1 species
UACGAAGGGGGCUAGCGUUGUUCGGAAUUACUGGGCGUAAAGGGCGCGUAGGCGGCGUGUCAAGUCAGGCGUGAAAGCCCCGGGCUCAACCUGGGAACCGCGCUUGAGACUGGCAUGCUCGAGUUCGGGAGAGGAUGGUGGAAUUCCCAGUGUAGGGGUGAAAUGCGCAGAUAUCAGGAGGAACACCAAUGGCGAAGGCAGCUCGCUGGGACGUGACCGACGCUGAGGUGCGAAAGCGUGGGGAGCAAACAGG